rnacentral:lncRNA from 12 species
GCUUAUCUUUAUAUUUUUGUGUCUUUCAUGCCCUCCUUCCCCUUUCUGUUCUAUCUGGACCCUCAGGGGAUGGAGGAUACUCACCCAAAUGGGGAGGGUGAAUCUCUUCACUCAGGGACUGAUAUUUGAUUUUUAAAAUCUUAAUUCAGAUGAUACGGAUUUUGGGGGGGCCACAUAAUGUCAAAUAAUUAGUUUGAUUAUAAUAACGUAGAGUUUAAUGGCAAAGUGCCUUAAGAUGUCUGUAGAAUAGAGAGUAAAACACCUAGUCCCAAGAGUUGUAGGACUGAGAUAAGGGAUCUGAAAGUGUUUCACCAUCAAGCACUAUACAAAUUUAUGAGAUUAUUAUGAUGAUAAUAGAAAUGAUGCUAAUGUUUAUGUAGGAGCCAAGCCCCUGUUCAUCAUAUAGAACAAAUAUUUUCAGUCUUGAGGCUACAGACCUCAUGGGUAGGAUUCUCUGAGGCUGUGUGUAAACAAUAUGGGAAGGUGCAUUUGGGGGAGGGAGACUUAUCAUCUCCUCCCAAAGAAUAUUUGGAACUGACUAACUGCAUGAGUGUAUAAAUGAAACGGGAAUGGCUGACCAUGUGAUAUACAAAAUAGCACACAGUCACAGACUUCUGCAUACUGAAGUGGUUUUGUCGGGUGCAGCCAACUUGAUGAGGGUUUCUUUUCUUAUCCCUAGACAUGAAUGGCCUAUAUGCUACUUCCCACCUGAACUGAGCUUAGCAAGAAGCAUAUUCACAUGGCAGUGUGUAUACCCGGAUAGGAAGCUUCAGGCAUUUUACAGAUGAAACCAUCCUCGUUAAGUUUCAAUUUUGAACAGAUGAGUGAAAAGCCAUUUUCCAGGGACAGUACCUGAGUCACCCACACCUUCUGCCUGACAUUGAGCACAAAUAUUUGGAACUGUGGCAAAUCAUCUGCUGAUACUACUUGGACAUGAAAGCAUGUGAAAAAAAUCAGCAUUGUGUCUACAUGAGAAAAAAUAUCCUAGCCCCUUGUGUAAAACUACUGACAGAAUGUGACACUUUUGGUAAGAUGGGAAAACAGAGACCGAUGGAACUUGCCUUAGAGGAAGAUGGACAAAUGGAUUGGACAGUACAAGUAGAAGGACAACUUUUCAAGAGGAAGAAUUUAAAAAAAAAAAAAAGGAAGAAUUAUGUUGGGAGACUUACACACCGCCCAAUUUCAAGACUUACUCCAAAGGUAAAU